rnacentral:rRNA from 1 species
ACGGAGGAUCCAAGCGUUAUCCGGAUUUAUUGGGUUUAAAGGGUGCGUAGGUGGCUUUGUAAGUCAGUGGUGAAAGUUUUCAGCUUAACUGGAAAAUUGCCAUUGAUACUGCAGGGCUUGAGUACAGAUGAGGUAGGCGGAAUGUGUCAUGUAGCGGUGAAAUGCAUAGAUAUGACACAGAACACCGAUUGCGAAGGCAGCUUACUAAACUGAUACUGACACUGAGGCACGAAAGCGUGGGGAUCAAACAGGA